rnacentral:rRNA from 1 species
UACGGAGGGCGAGCGUUGUUCGGAAUUACUGGGCGUAAAGGGCGUGUAGGCGGACUGUUAAGUUAGGGUGAAUCCCAGGGCUCAACCCUGGAACUGCCUCUAAUACUGGCGGUCUUGAGAUUUGGAGAGGUGUGUGGAAUUCCUAGUGUAGAGGUGAAAUUCGUAGAUAUUAGGAAGAACACCAGUGGCGAAGGCGGCACACUGGCCAACAUCUGACGCUGAGGCGCGAAAGCGUGGGGAGCAAACAGG